AACGCACGAGACCUGCGGACCUGCGGAGGGAUCAUUAUUGAAUGUACUUGAUGGGUUGUUGCUGGCCCUUCUGGGCAUGUGCACGCCUGUCUUGACUCCAUUCAUCCACCUGUGAACCUUUUGUAGUCUGAUUGAGGCAGUAGCAGUGACACUCAGUUUGAAAACACUGGAUUUGAGGUUUGCCCAGUAUUGAUGGGCUGUUCUCUUUGGUCUCGAGCUCCGCCUUGAAAGACUAUGUUU
rnacentral:misc_RNA from 1 species